rnacentral:rRNA from 1 species
GGCGCAGCCUGAUCAGCCAUGCCGCGUGUGUGAUGAAGGCCUUAGGGUCUGUAAAGCUCUUUCGCCUGUGAUGAUAAUGACAGUACGCACGUAAAGAAACCCCGUGCUAUCUCCGUGCCAACAGCCGCGGUAAUACUCGAGGGGGUUAGCGUUGUUCGGAAUUACUGGGCGUAAAGCGCACGUAAGCGGAUUGGAAAGUUGGGGGUGAAAUCCCGGGGCUCAACCCCGGAACUGCCUCCAAAACUCUCAGUCUAGAGUUCGAGAGAGGUGAGUGGAAUUCCAAGUGUAAAGGUGAAAUUCAUAUAUAUUUGGAGGAACAUCCAGUGGCGAAGGCGGCUCACUGGCUCGAUACUGACGCUGAGGUGCGAAAGCUGUGGGGAGCAAACAGGAUUAGAUACCCUGGUAGUCCACACCGUAAACGAUGUAAUGCUCAGUCGUCCGGGCAGUAUACUGCUCAGGUGACAGCAGCCUAACCGCAUUAAGCAUUCCGCCUGG